CCAGACUCCUACGGGAGGCAGCAGUAGGGAAUAUUGCUCAAUGGGGGAAACCCUGACCCAGCGACGCCGCGUGAGGGAAGACGGUCUUCGGAUUGUAAACCUCUGUCUUUGGGGACGAAAAAGGACGGUACCCAAGGAGGAAGCUCCGGCUAACUACGUGCCAGCGGCCGCGGUAAUACGUAGGGGGCAAGCGUUAUCCGGAUUUACUGGGUGUAAAGGGGGCGCAGACGGCAGCGCAAGCCAGGAGUGAAAGCCCGGGGCCCAACCCCGGGACUGCUCUUGGAACUGCGCGGCUGGAGUGCAGGAGGGGCAGGCGGAAUUCCUGGUGUAGCGGUGAAAUGCGUAGAUAUCAGGAGGAACACCGGUGGCGAAGGCGGCCUGCUGGACUGCGACUGACGUUGAGGCCCGAAAGCGUGGGGAGCAAACAGGAUUAGAUACCCCCGUAAG
rnacentral:rRNA from 1 species